AUUGAACGCUGGCGGCAGGCCUAACACAUGCAAGUCGAACGGUAGCACAGAGAGCUUGCUCUCGGGUGACGAGUGGCGGACGGGUGAGUAAUGUCUGGGAAACUGCCCGAUGGAGGGGGAUAACUACUGGAAACGGUAGCUAAUACCGCAUAACGUAGCAAGACCAAAGUGGGGGACCUUCGGGCCUCACACCAUCGGAUGUGCCCAGAGGGGAUUAGCUAGUAGGUGGGGUAAUGGCUCACCUAGGCGACGAUCCCUAGCUGGUCUGAGAGGAUGACCAGCCACACUGGAACUGAGAAACGGUCCAGACUCCUACGGGAGGCAGCAGUGGGGAAUAUUGCACAAUGGGCGCAAGCCUGAUGCAGCCAUGCCGCGUGUAUGAAGAAGGCCUUCGGGUUGUAAAGUACUUUCAGCGGGGAGGAAGGCGGUGAAGUUAAUGACUUCACCGAUUGACGUUACCCGCAGAAGAAGCACCGGCUAACUCCGUGCCAGCCGCCGCAGUAA
rnacentral:rRNA from 1 species